CAUAGACCCCCUUAGGUAGUACCCUCAAAAGAAACCCAUAUACCGUGGCGGUCAAAUCAAAUUAGAGGAACUCGCUUCUUAAUCGUCAAUACCCGAUAACUCUAACUUGUUUCUUACAAAGCCUAUAUACCGCCGUUACAGACUUUAUUAAACCAUAAAACUCCAACAAGCCCUCGCUAAAAAAUCAGGUCAAGGUGUAGCUAAUAAACAAGAGCAAGUAAGUUACACUAAAGAUAAUUUAAGGAAUUUAAAAGAAAUUCAACAGGAAAAAGAAUCUAAUUGUACACAGAAAUUAAAAUUUUACCUAGAAAAAGACAUAUUUGACGC
rnacentral:rRNA from 1 species